ACUGAGACCUGAUUGAUGAUGU
rnacentral:miRNA from 1 species